rfam:Pan troglodytes isolate Yerkes chimp pedigree #C0471 (Clint) chromosome 1, whole genome shotgun sequence.
GCUGGGCAUGGUAGCGCAUGCCUGUAGUCCCAGCUACUCAGGAGACUGAGAUAGGAGGACCACUUGAGCCCAGGAGGUCAAGGCUGCAGUGAGCCAUGACUGCGCCACUGCACUCCAGCCUGGGCAAUAGAGUAAGACCCUGUCUCAA